rnacentral:rRNA from 1 species
UACGUAGGGUGCAAGCGUUGUCCGGAAUUAUUGGGCGUAAAGAGCUCGUAGGCGGUUUGUCGCGUCUGCUGUGAAAACCCGAGGCUCAACCUCGGGCCUGCAGUGGGUACGGGCGAGACUAGAGUGGCGGUAGGGGAGAUUGGAAUUCCUGGUGUAGCGGUGGAAUGCGCAGAUAUCAGGAAGAACCACCCGUGGCGAAGGCGGCUCUCUGGGACGGUACUGACGCUGAGACGCGAAAGCGUGGGGGGAGCGAACAGG